ensembl:snRNA U6 U6 spliceosomal RNA
GUGCUCACUUUGGCAGCACAUAUACUAAAAUUGGAACAAUACAGAGAAGCUCAGCAUGGCCCCUGCACAAAGAUGACACACAAAUUUGUGAAGUGUUCCAUAUUUUU